rnacentral:rRNA from 1 species
UGGGGAAUAUUGCACAAUGGGCGAAAGCCUGAUGCAGCGACGCCGCGUGAGGGAUGACGGCCUUCGGGUUGUAAACCUCUUUCAGCAGGGACGAAGCGCAAGUGACGGUACCUGCAGAAGAAGCACCAGCUAACUACGUGCCAGCAGCCGCGGUAAUACGUAGGGUGCAAGCGUUGUCCGGAAUUACUGGGCGUAAAGAGUUCGUAGGCGGUUUGUCGCGUCGUUUGUGAAAACCAGCAGCUCAACUGCUGGCUUGCAGGCGAUACGGGCAGACUUGAGUACUGCAGGGGAGACUGGAAUUCCUGGUGUAGCGGUGAAAUGCGCAGAUAUCAGGAGGAACACCGGUGGCGAAGGCGGGUCUCUGGGCAGUAACUGACGCUGAGGAACGAAAGCGUGGGUAGCGAACAGG